UGGACUAUUCUAUUAUAUUUCUUAUAUUUCUGAACUAUUCUAUUAUAUAAUGAUUUUUAAACUUUCCAUAUAUAUAGAAAUAGAAAGAGAUAAACUAGAACCGACAUCUCUUAUCUCAAUGACACCAAAGAGAGGGAUAUUAAAUGAAUGGAAUUAGUAUAUGGGUGGAAUAUAAUGAAAUAGAGCCACUUUGAGGUUCCCUAUGAAAUGAGGCAUGGAACGGAGCCACUGCGAAGAAGUUCCACGAGUUACGAAGGAAAACUUCGAGCUCAUAUUGGUCUUCUUGUCUCUCUUUCUUCUCAAAAUUACUCUCUCAAUCUUCUUGUCUCUCUUCAUAACUUUGAACUAACUCUCUUCCUUUUUUUGUAAACAAAUAUUUCCAUCAUUUCUCCAUUCCUGUCUUUCUUUCUUCUUCGAUGUUACUCAAACUACUCAAAGACAUUAUCCUCUCCAACCUCGUAAAUAUAUAUUGUUAAAGAUAAUUCAUAUUUACACCUUUUCAUUUCCCAUCAACAAAUAUCAUAGAUUCGACUUAAAAAAUAUAUAAGAUUUUCACUCUUUGCAUGUUAUCUAAACUUGCUUGAUAUCAUAAAGUCAUUUUUUUUAUAUGCAUUUUUUUAACUUCAACUCUUUAUUAUAUAAUAAGGGUUAAUAAUUUAAUUUCAAAUAGUUAUUCUAAUUUAAUUUAAUUUCAAAUUUAGGAUGAUGUUGUUACGUUACAUUACUACAUAUUCGCAUAAUUUAACUUAAUAUCUAUUAUUUUAAUUCCUAUUAGAGUCAUGUAAUAUAUACUAAAUUUCUUAUUACAUAUAUUAAUUUAAUUUACUACAUAUUAUCAUUAGAGAAACCAUUUAGUUUUUAGUUCUCAUUUCAGAAAGUGUUAUUACUUUAUUGAGUAACAUUUUUGGUUAUAUUGGAGUUUAUCAAGACUCCACAAGUUUUCUUGAAUUCUUGAGUUAGACAAUCUUCCGUAAAUCAGAUAAUUGCGAAUUACUUUAGCUUAAACAAAAGUCUUCAAUUAAAUUUGUAAACAAUUUCACGGUAUUUUAAAAAGGUAACUCUUAAGAAGUUCCACGUGACAAUUCAAAUAUUCACAAGAUUGCUCCAUAGAAAGGGAAUAUAUUGCUUAUUCUUUGAUUAGGUCAUUUCCGUUCGGACCUCAAGUACAAAUUAUCCUUACAUAUAAUUAUUAAUGUUUAAAAUCAUGGCAAAUUAAUUUGUAUAAAAAAGCAAUAGCACAAUGUAGAAAGUUUAUGAAGUUAAAGAUAUGUCAAACUCAAAUAUGUGUUAGUCCAAAUAAUUUAUUAUAUAGGUAAAAAUUAUUACAAACAAUAAGAUAAUAAAGAUUCAAUAAUAAUAAUUAACGGGGUAAGCAAACCUAUCUAAAAUUUUAGAUAAAAUAAUUUUCUAUCAACUCGAAUAUAUCUAACACGCCCCCUUAAGCUAAAACUUUAAGCUUGUCACAAAUAAUUCCUUUCAAAAUAAAAAUGAUCAAAUAAUUAUAUAAACUUCAUAAAAAUUGUUGAAAGAUAUUGUAAACUGCAAAAUUUGCAUAUAUAAUCAAUAUUGAAAUUAUCGUUGAUGUGAAAGGCAAUCACAUGCAACUAAUAUAAUUCACCAUUGUGAAAAAAGGCGCCAUCAAAAUUAUUGUCGUUGAGAAGAGAACCAUUGAUAUAAUCACCAUCGAAAUUAUCAUAGGUAAAAAAACAACUUAUUACUGGCAUAAUUCUUAAAUGAGAGAAAAGACACUUCCAGAAUGAAUGUUGAAAGAAAUAGAAAACAAUGGUGUAUAAUCCGAAUCGGAAUGAUGGUCAAUGACAAAAGAAAUUAAUACUAACAUAAAUUAUUAAUGAGACAAAAAUGCACUAUUGAAAUGAUCACUGAUCGAUGUGAAGAUUAUCACAUAUAUAAAUAUAGAAUUGUGAGGUUGAAAAAAUGAAUGAAUACUAACAAGUAGAUGACAUAGUAAAGUAAGAUGACUAAUCAUGUUACUAAUUUUGGUUUCUACGUUAGUGGAAUACUGACUGAAAAUGUCAUAGAGAAUGAAACCACUUACCAUGUAGAAGUUUAUAAUAAUAAGGAUUAGUCAAACUCAAAUAUGAGUUAGUCUAAAUAAUUUAUUAUACAUAUAAAAAUCAUUACAAAUAAUAAAAUAAUAAUGAAAUAAUAACUAACAAGAUAAAAAAACUAAUUAAAUCCUAGAUAAGAUAAAUAAAAUCAAUCCAAAUAUAUAUAAGAAACGUGUUAUUUAAUAAAAUCACCCACUUUGUUCUCAAUUACAUUAAUUUAUCCACCAGGUCGCCAACAAAUUUUUUUAAAUGAAAUGUUUGACUCAGAUUUGCACUAUGGGGGCAUGUAUUUAACCACCUCUUCUCCUUUUUUUCUAUUCUCUACGGGCACACGUGUUCCUCGAAUUCGCCCUAACAUUCAAAAGAGUACUAUGUCGGUAAGCAUAUUUUAUUCACUUUUUUUAUUGCGUUUUCCACAUUUUUCUUUCCAAAGUUGGUAUCACGUUCUGGCUCAAGAGGAAGAGUACCAUGCAAUUGUUUGCUGCAUAUUUCUAUGUCAAUGUUUUUAGCGUUUUAGAUUAUACUAUAAUAUUUACGUAGGAUAAGUACUAUUUUGGUUGAUGUCUGCAAUGUGACUAGUGGAAUGUUUAAAGGAAAUACUAUAUUGAGAUUUUUAUGUGUGCUUUAGGACAUGUCAAAAUCUUAAAUUUCUGCUCACCAUUCUUUGUUGCAUUGUCAUACAUUCACCAACAAGAACUUAAAAAAUUAUAAGGAAAUAGAGAUAAAAUGUGCAAGCCUUAAAUAUUUUUUUCGUAUUUUAAUUUUCUUCAAAAUUUGUUAAUAUUUUUUUAUCACCACCAAUGUUUUUCCAUUUAAUUAAACAUUGAUUGGGUUAAGGCAUUCAUACUUUUAAGAAAAUUUAGUUGGAUUAAGUAAGGCAUGCAUACUUUUAAGAAAAUUAGGCAUGUCUCUAGUUAUCAUGCAUCAUAUUAUCAUAAAUACUUUAAUAGACCUUAUAUUUUUUUUACCAUAAACGCAAAUGGUUUAUUUAAAAAAAACUACUAGAUUCAUUUUCUAAGUUCUGAUUUCAAGUUGGCUAUAUAAGUUUUAUCUAUUCCCAAUUCUUAGUUAUUUUCUAUUUUUAGAUGGACCGUUUAAGUUGUUCUACGUUUUAAAUUAUUUUUUCGUUAUACUUGUACCCUAAAAUCUAUAUUUACUUUUGAAAUUUCAUAAAACUGUGAAUUUGUAUAUUUUCUGUAUUUUGACUUCACAGAAAUUGUGAAUUGUAGGUGAGAAUUGAAAAAAUUGUGAGAAAAAAUAUAUACUUACAAGAUCAAAAUAAAACAAAAAUAAGUAAUAAUGUCCGAGCUGAGAAUAUUUAUAGGUAUGUGGGGCUAACUCUCCCGGUAGGUAUUUUUCACUCACAAACUCGAACCUGAAACCUUAUUUAAGGGGAAUCAAAUAUGUACCACUUGAACCAACACCCGUUGAUAGAUUAAAAAAUAAAUUUUCAACAAAAGCUAUUUAUUUAGAAAAAAAUUAUUUGAAAAUAUUUAUGCAACAAUAUGCUUGCUAGCUAAUUAACAUAAAUGUUAUUAAUUAACAUAUUUUAAACAUAAAUAUAUGGCUUGAACUGAGAAGCUAGGAAGCAUAUAUCCACACAAAAAAUAGAAUCAAGCCGAUUCUUUUUCUUUUUUGUUGUUGCUAUUUCUACUUAUGCAUGUGCAACUGGGAUGCCAAUUUAUGCGUUUGCACUAAUAAUAAUUGGUGCAGUAGUAGCUUGUGUCUGUGUCAUAACCCAUCCAUGAAAGUUGUUAGUUGAUUUCAGUUUGUAAUUGUAAUAUUGUUUUCGUUAAUCGAUUAAGAGUUUAAUUAAUCGAUUAACUAGUUAGUUAUUAGUUAGACAUUGUAGUAUAUAAAUGGUGAUUCCCUUAUUCCUUGGAACUCAUUUUCAAUUCAAUAACAUUUUCUCAUUCUUUCUUGUUCAUCAAGAAGAUCUCUCUUGUCCAUGGCUCUUACCAUUUUAACAUGGUAUCAGAGGAAUAACUCUUCCUCACUUUGUUGCUGCAAUCUUUCCAUUGGUGGCGGUAUCAGGCCGUUUUGCUCUAGCAACUGGUGCAGUAGAUGAUGCAGGUUCUAUCCCUUCUUUUCAAGAAAGAUUGAUUUUCUUAUACUCCAAAAUCAUACAUUCACAGCAAGAUUUACCGCUUUCCCAUGGGAAGUACUCAAGAACAGGUUCAAAGAAAAGUGUUUGGAGUCUUGAUGAUGUUCAAUCUAAUGGUUGGGUGGAUGCCAUGAUGGCCUUUUCUCCAUCCAAAAAAAAAGGAAGAAGCUGCUUAAAUUAUCAAUCAAUGUCAUAAUCUUCUCAUUGGAAGUUUGUGGAUUUAUUUAUUUAUGAGCAUGAAAUAUACUAUUGCUUGCUUUCUCUAUUAUUGCAUUUGUAACUAGAUAUGUUUUGUCUUCUUUCUCAUUGAUGAUCCUCACAUAUGUCGGUGGUGUGGUUCUCACCACACUAGUGGCUGUCCCUAAUUGGCCUUUCUUCAAUUAGGGAUAUUUCACUCAUUCUCGGCACAGUCUAUUAACCAAGAAUCUAAAGGUGACUAGAAUUUUUGAUACAUUUUUCUAAGGUCGUGCAGAAAUAUUUCUUCAACAAUUACAUUGGGAUAAAGAAGAUCUUUCUCUAUCAAAUAAUUUAUCUUAAGGCUUCUUGUAUCUGUUCUUGGGAUUUGAGAUGUGGGCUUUAUUGUCUUGCAUUGUGUGUUUUUUCUCUUCGAGCUGCAAAUUUUGUUACAACACAUUUCGAGCGCAUCUCAUGCAAGACCCUCUCUAGACUUGUUAACAUGAAAGGUUUAGAAUCAUCCACCAAAUUCAUGCCAAUUGUAAUAUCAUGAUCUUGUUUCUGAAUAGACAUGAAUGGUGCAACCAAUUGUGGUGUUUGGAAUUAGUUGUUUCAGGUUUCAAGGUUAGUGUAGUAGUUUGGAAUCAAUUUUUUCUUCUCAAUGAUAACAAGAAUAUACACACUUUUUAUCAUUUACCCACAAUUAUUUCUCAUUUCUUUAUUACUCUAGUUUCUUUACCUCUCUCUCAUUAAACACACAACAUUUUAGUGUGUAAUUUUCCCCCCUCAUUGAAGCAACAUAUAAGGAUCAAGAUUAAGGUUCAUCUCAUUUCUCUCUUUCAUCUGUUAUGAUUGGUUUGCUUCUGUCAAAAAGAUGGUUAAGUAUUGAAUGAAAUUGCUUCUGCCAAAUGGUGGUUAAGCUUAAUAUUGUUUCACGUUCAAAUUUCAAGAUUGGGAGACGAAGAUUCGAUCACCAGCAAGAAGAGGUAUUAGAGUAUGUGUGGUGUUUAGCACAAUCAUUUCAAGCUUGGAAUGCUUGACACAUUCCAACUUGAGGAUGUUAAAGUUGUUAGUUGAUUUCAGUUUGUUAGUUGUAAUAUUGUUUUCGUUAAUCGAUUAAGAGUUUAAUUAAUCAAUUAACUAGUUAGUUAUUAGUUAUACAUUGUAAUAUAUAAAGGACGAUUCCCUCAUUCGUUGGAACUCAUUUUCUCAUUCCUUCUUGUUUAUCAAAAAGAUCUCUCUUAUUCAUGGCUCCUACUAUUUUAACAUAAUAUCUAUUGCUUUAUGUAGUCACUACCUCUGUGACUAGUUGUUGUAAAUUCAGAAGUUGCUGACUUAGAUGAAAAUGAAAUGGCUGAAAUUUCAAUAUGAAUAUAAUAUUUAUGUGUCGUUAGUGUAAAAAUUUAUAUAUAAUUAUUAUAUUAUUUAUCAUUUAUUUGAAUUACUUUUUGAAGAGUCAAUGAUAAUUAAAUAUGAAUAAUGGAUAAUAUAUAAAAUUGUAUAUUGUGAAUGCAUAAUUUUUCUCUUUCAAUAUUGCAUGUAUUUUGGCACACUGAUUUGAGCUUAAUAUAUAUGUAUUGUUAGUGUAAAGUUUUUUAUACUAUCAUCAUCAUUAUUUGUAAGAAACAUGUAUGCUAUUAAUCUAUUAACUACAAUAUUAAUCAAUUAACUCUUACAGAAUCUCACAUAUACCAUUACUUACAUGAAACAAUAUAUUAAAUCCUUAUUAUUUAUUGCAGCAAAAUUCUUGUUUAUAGGACAUACAUGCGUGCACAAAGUUAUUGUUGUUUGUUUCCUUGUAUAGCAACAAAUGAAUAUUUGUUUUAAAUUUUUAAUAAAUGAUUCUACCCUAAUAGUAUAAUUAUCCACAACUGUUUUAUAUGUACAACCAAAUUUCUGCCACUCUAUAGGGAAAUAUUUUGAAAAAUAAAUAGAACCCAACAAUUUUCUUUCUUCCUUUUCCUCUUUUUGUUACUCAUAAAGGAAGUUGUGAGGUUUAGUUUUGCAACAAUCAUUUUCCUAACUGUCCCUUCAUAUAGUCGACAAUAUGGGUGGAAACUAGUUGAAUUUAUCUUGAUUCAAAUCAAUUCGACUCGUUAAUGAUUAGCUUCAGUGGAAUUCCGAACUGAGUUUAAUAUUGAAUUAUUUAUUUAGUUUAAUUAAAGUUCAUCAAUUUUGGAGCGGGUUAAUGAACUCACAUUUAUAUCGUUCAUCAAUAUAAAUUAAAGGGCCUAUAAGGUGCUAAUGAAUUAUAAAAUACACGUAGAGAAAGUUUUUUAAUAUUAGUAAUAAAUGUAGUUACCGAUUAAAGUUUAUGCAGUAAAUAUUAUCUAUAUAUGUAUAGAAAGUGAUUCAAGUUAAAACAAUUUUUAAUAUGAGAAAAAUUAAUAUACGUCAUUCAAUUUUAUUUGAAUUGUCAAGAUUAAAAUUUAAGCGCAUAACUUUUUUAAGUGAUUAUGAACCAUUAUUUAACUUUUAAUUUUAAUCAUCUAUGCAUAUUUGUAUGACAUUGAUUUAUUAUUCUCAUAAAUUUUAUAUUAGACUUGUUCUCACUUAAGUCACUAUUAUGUACAUAUAUGUAUAUAAUUGAGUCAGUUUAUAGUCUCAACGAAUCGAACUGUAUUUGAAUCAAGUUUUGCUUGUUUAUAGCUCAAGUUCAAAUUAUUUAAUUUUUAAACCUUAUUUAUCGAAUUAAAUAAUGAAUCAAAUUUCAACGAAUAUUGAGUAGGAUCGAUUCAUUUUCGGCCAUACUUUUCAAAGUUGUCUAAUCAAAUGAAAUUGGUUUAUAACAAAAGGAGAAAAACAAAAUAAAGAAAUAAAACAUGUUACCUUAUUUUAGUAAUGGGCUGAAAGUUGCACAUUCUGUUGUAAUUUGGCCCAUUAACUUGUUGGACUAUAUCUCCCACACACAGAAAUUGUUGGACUGUAGACAACAUUCUUUAGGCUAAAAAUACCACAACAAUUUAUGCAAAGGUUAACAAAUGUUCUAAAAGUAUUAUUUAGGGGGAAAGACCAAAAUCUACCUUAAAAGAUGAUAUUUCCAGAAGUGUUAUUGAACUUAAUUUUCCAAUACUAAUUUUUUAUAUUCCUUUAACAAAGUUCUCAUACACCUAACAUAACCAUUAUUAGAAUGCAGUAAGUAAAUAACCUUUUUCCAUAAUUAAUUAUGAAUAUAAGACUUCCCUUAACUAUCAAAUUUGCAUAAUUUCUAUGGUAUAUAAAACGCACGAUCUUAUAAUCUUAGGAAUUAUGUACACCAUAAUAGUAUAGGGAAAGUGAGAAAAUACAGAACAAACUUUGAGGAGCAAAUAUCACAACAAUAAUAACAUUAACUCUGCCUUUGGACAAAAAAGGUUGCCAUAAAUGGGCCAUUUUUCUGAGAUGCCAAGGUACAAGGAUUCUGUUCCAUCUCACAACUGAACUAUGUGUUAUUUGUCUGCAUGUUUUGCUUGAUGUGAAGUGAAGAACAAAUCAAAUCUAAUGAGCUGAACCCAUUUCCUACAUUAUCUUCCCUUUUCCAAUUCUCAUUUCAUUUCUCUCAUUCAACCAAGUUCCUUCACAGAAAGUUUGAAACCCCAAACCCCUUUAUGCAAACCAAAUGUUAAGUACCCAGAUAGAUUCACCACUACCCUCUUCUAAAGGCAAACUCUUUCUCAGGUAUGCAUAUCUUGUUUCACAUUUCCUGCCACUUUCAUUGUUUUAUGAACCUUUUCUUUUCUAUUCCCCCAUUUAGAAACCCAUCUAGUGUGAAUGAACCUGGAUCCAUUCAUAAAUCCAUAUAACUGAUGAGUUAAAUUUAGGGGGAAAUGGGCAGUGGCUGGGUACAUCAAAAAACAAAAAAGAUUCUAAAUUUGGAGUGUCAAUUGAUUGUUUCAUAUUGAUGAUGGUUUAUUGACAUAAAUAGAUUUUAUAUUCUAAUUAUAAGCAGUAGUUCAUUAUCUGGAUAGAAAGUGUUUUGCAGUAUUUUUUAUCUGAUAGCAAAGCGAAUGGUAAGGCUAUGUAUAGUUACCAUUUAUAGACACUGCUAGUUGGGAGACUCAUACACUGAACCUCCCUUCAAUAGGGUGAGCCUCAACAGAACAAUAGUGUUGCUUGCCUUGUGACCUGGAGGUCAUAGGUUCAAAUCUUGGUCCUAUUCGCUUGUGCACUAGGCCACCCUUUAUAGAAGUUUGUUGUGGAAUCCGAGUGCCAAUUGAUGACUUCUGUAGCGAUUUGGUUAAUGGACUUAUAUGAAACAUGAGCAUACAAAUUUGUGGGAUGUGAAUUACAUUUUGAUGGCCAGGAAGUGAGAUGGAUGCAUUUACAUUCUGUAGUGUUGUUUUCUGCUACUAUCUGUUCUGAAGUUUAAUUAUUUUUUGAUAAUCAGAUAAGUUGAUUUAAUUGUUGAACUAUGUCAAUCAUUCCAAUUUUGCUGAACCAUCUACUGGUACAGGUUGAAAGUUGAAAGUUGAAAGAAGAGGUGAAUCAUCCAUUGGUUAUUCUGAUGCAUUAGCUAAUGUUGUUUGGGCUCCUACAUCAUCACUCAAGAGAUUUUAGUUUACCACUUAUUGCUAUUUCUUUCUUAUGUCCACUCAAAUGAGCAUUUCUAAUCUGUGCUGUUUGACAUGAUUUCUCUACUUGUUGUAGCUCAGUUGUAAUUAAAAGAACACACUCUCUCAUCACUCUAUCCCACCCUUGGUGGGAAGACGCGUGCAACUAUGUACAACACAUAUUUCAGCUCAACAAUAUAUGCUGUUAGAUGUAAAGAGUCAUUUACUUUAUCUUCCAAUGGCUACACAAAUUUCUCGUAUGAAAGAUUCGACAGAAGCCCAUCACAUUGUUCAUUAUGUAGUGGUUGUUGUGAUUGCUGUUCAUUCUCCACUUGCAAAGUGCCUGUAAAUUCCAGUAUUCUGAAUGGGCUAAGGCAAUCUACUCUCCUUCAACUGCCAGCUUCUAGAAGGUUGAUUUUGGGUAAUGGAUACCUGUACUUUUCCCGGGUACCAUCUUUUGAUCUCCACAGGGGUUGUUUUGAGCUUAACUGUUCUGUUAAUGAUAGAACUGAUUGCAAUAGAAGUACAAGAAGAACAAAAGGAAAAUGUUUCUCUGCGGCUCCGCAAAAAGGAAGGGAAAUUUGCCACACAAUUGAUUCUGAUGAUGUUGAAUCAGUUCUCAGCUUAUUGAGUGAAGAAGCAGAUAAGGAUUGUAGCAGUAUCAAAUUGAAGAAUGCGUCUUCACCCAAAAUAAUGGAAGCAGAGAAGAAAAGAAAAAAUGUAAUGAAAGAGAGAAAUUUGAGUUUAAGUAAGAAACUAGAAGCAGAGAAGAAAGGAAAUUUGAAGCUACAUGAGACAUCCACUAUAGACUUGAGAAGAGAAAAUGAAAAAACCAACAAAGAAAGGGAAACCUUCAAUAAAAGUGAGAACAAUAGGAAGCGAAGAGAUGUUUCUAGUUGCUCAUCUUUUUACUCGCUUUCAUCAGGAGAUCUUCCAAGUGACUUGGAAGUUCAAAAUAAGCAUGAUUCGGAAGAAUUAUCAGCAGUAUAUGAGAAAGAUUAUGCAAAUCACGAGGGACAAGUAAAGGAUAAACUCAACAGGCAAAGAAAUUACUCACAGAAGCUGCAUGGUUUUUCAAAUCAGGAAAGGACUGCAUUUAGUGCUAAUAAUAUUGAUUGGAACCUAAGGAAGAAGUCUGAAAAGAAGCCGACUGACGUGACUAUGCAAGAAACAUUAUCCACAAAAGAACACAAAGAUAGGCAUUCAAGAGCAUCUAGAACUCAUGAAUCUAGUUAUUGGAACACAUCUAUUUUACGCAAGCAAGUCGAAUGUGAGGAAGAUAAUUUAUCUUUUGUCAAGGAUUUGGAUAAGAAAAUGGAAAAGGCAUAUAUUAAAGCAAGGGAGAUAAGAAAUCACCAAUCUACAGAUACACAAGAGUCUGGUUAUGAUGAAGUUGAAACGACUUUGGCUUCAAAGAAGACAUUCAGUGGCAGGGAAGGGAACCUUGAGAUAUCAGGAACAUUGUUACGUGAAAGAAGUGAUGAACAUAAAAAGUUUGUGGGAUCUACUUCUACCAUAGGAAAGGUAACUUCAAAAUCAAAUAAGACAUUCAGUGGCAGGGAAGAGAACCCUGAGAUAUCAGAAACACUUUUACACGAAGCACGCGAGGAACGUAAAAACAUUGUUGGUUCUACUUCUACCAUUGAAAAGAAUGUAAUAAAUAGGAAUUCCCAGAAAUAUAUGGGAAAAACAAAAGUUGAGGACACUGAAAGGACCUUAAAUACUCGAAUGAAGAAUUUGAGAGAGGAAAAAGUUUCAAUUUUGAGUUCUGCUCAGGGAGUAGAGGAGCAACAACACCAAAAAGGAGAAAAGAUUGUUACACAGGCUAAAGAGAGAAGAAAGUCUCAGCGAUUUUCUGAAGUAUCACAAAUUCAUGAGAGUAAUGUAGAAGAUACAUCCAUUGUGAAGUCCAGAACUAGAAUAAAUGACCAGGAAGGGAAUUCAAACUCAAGCACAGAUGCAAGGGUUACAUGGCGUCAAACAGAUAAAAGGACAAAUCAGAGUAUUCAACACGGGAAAGGGUUUGAACAUGACAGCACCUUAUCAGAAGGGUAUGGCAGUGAUGAAAAGCAAGUUUCCAGUUCUCAAAGAAUUUCUAGGAAGGUGAGGUUCGUCCCAAAAAGUAAAUCAAUGUCAGUUGUUAAAACCAGAGAGAGCUAUUGCCAAACUGAUGAAAGGAUUACAAAUAUUGACUUGUACAGUGAGGGCCAAAGACCAAUGAACCUAUCAGUUUCUGAUGAAACUGUCUCAGGAGAGGAAGCCAGCUUCCACGGAUCACUGAAUUUGGUUUCCGAGGCUGGUAAACGUGUUAUAUUGGCACCAGGUGAUGAACAGAGUUCAGAAAGAAUGUUGACCCCUUCCUCAUCCAGAUUGGUGGGUCAAAGCUCAGCGCAUGUUGAAUUCAAUGCUGAAAUUACAAAUCCUGGGAUCGUCAUUGAAAGUUCAGAUAGUGGCUCGUCUGCUCUGUAUGAUAAUGCAGGAAGAAGUCCCAUUUUUCUUUCUGAAUCAUAUUCUACAGAUGGAAUUCAUCAGGCCUAUACCGAGCCUUCUAACAUCAUAGCUCUGGAAGGUGGUGCCCUUGGUUCAGCUGAUCGUUUAGAGAAAUCAUCGAAACAGUUUGUUGAUGAGUUUGUUGAGAGGGUCAGGCAUGAAGUCACCACUUCAGAAACACAAGAGCUAGAUGUUACUGGAAAAAGGUUGGCCAUUGAAGAUGAAGGAAAUCAGAUCUUCAGUUCAAGGAAAGAAGGCACUCAAAAUGAGUCACAGUUGAAGGAGCGUGGUUCUAGCCAUUCCUCUGGGUUUCCCGGGACUAAAGGACCUUCUGAUGAAAUGUGGGAUGUAAAUGAACCAUCUGUUGAGCAAAUUCUUGUAGCUGAAGAACCAGAGAUCAGCAAGGAAACUGAGAAAACAAUUCUCAGUAGAACUGGGAGGUCCAUGUGGAGUAUGAUUGCAGAUGUUGUUCGAUUACGUUGGGGCUCACGUACUGGUUCCUCCAAUUCAGCUGGAAGAUCAGGUGAGAGGAACUCGCCAAACAAGUCUGAUAGUGAGACAUGGUUUUCAGGGCAGGAGCAUGAGGAAACCAGUAAAAGUAAUGUAAUAAAGGAAACAAGUGUACUACCACAAACCAUGACUUCGUCAAAACCAAGUACACUUUAUACCCAAAGUGAGGGAGAGGUGUCUGACACUAAAAGACUGAAGGACAAAGGAAAAAAUCUUGAAUUUAGGUCAUCUUCUCCAAAUACAUUGGAAAGUGGAUCAACAUCAUUAGGUGCCUCAUAUGCUUCGGGUGAUGAACAUGCUAACUGGAGUGAAGAUGGAAAAGAUUUGAAAGUCAGUACUUCAGACAUAAAAAAUGUGGAAUUCCCAAUUCCGUUGCCUGCCAGAGGACCUCCUUUUGUUGGGAAAAUUGUAAAUGUUGGUGGAUCUAACAUGUCUGGAAGUGAGCCGAUUAUGCCAAUCAAGGAACCUGUUGCUCCAGUGCAAUUUGAACCGCCUGGCUUAGGGAAAAAGGAUGAAGAGUUGAAGCAAAGGAAGUUUCAACGCAACACUCAAGUUUUGAGAGAUAGGUUUGAUGACUGGGAAGAAGCCUACAAUGUUGAAUUUGAGCAGCGGAGAGUGGAUGAAAUGUUCAUGAAGGAGGCACUUUUGGAAGCUAUGAAAGCUGCUGAUACUUGGGAGGUCCCUGUUGGUGCAGUUCUUGUGCAGAAUGGAAAAGUUAUUGCACGGGGAUGCAACUUGUAAGUAUUAUAUGAUAUUAUUUCAUUCAUUGUAAUUGCCUUGUUUUUUUAAUUCAUAUCAUCUGUUUCAGAGUAGAAGAAUUACGGGACUCCACUGCUCAUGCAGAGAUGAUUUGUAUCCGAGAAGCUUCAGGCCUUCUUCGAACAUGGAGACUAUCAGUAAGUUUCCUUGUUCUAUAUUUGAAGUGUAUUUUGGUAUCGCAGCCAAAGCUUAGCUCAUUUGAUAUGUUUCUCUUAUAUUGUUUUAAGCAAGCGUGACUAAAAAUGUGACAAUAUCUGUGUACUAAAGCUUAAAUUCAUCAUGGUUCAGGCCAAUUCGACCUCUUAUAUCUUGAAUACAUGAAUGGCAGCAGACCUUACACUUAUAUAGCACUGAUAAUAAUGUUUCACAUCCACAUGUUGAAAGAAAUCAAAUGCUUGUCAUAUAAUCUAUCAGUAGAUUAACUUAGCAGGCUUAGAACAGUACUUUUUUCCGUUGAUUGAUAAUGUUAACAACCAUGUUAUGGUAAUUGGAUUACUCUAUAAUUUAUUAUUCUUUGCUUUUAUGAAUGUUCGUAAAUAGUGUUGAAGUUUUAUCCGAUAAAUAGAUAACAUUCACUAUCUCAAAAUAAAUGCUUGUUUAAAAUAAAAAAUGAAUUUCAUAGUAAUUCCAAUAGUUAUGUUAAAAUCACUUAAGGCAAUAUUAGUUUAAAGGGAUUGAAGUUAAAAGAAAGGAAAUGAUGUAUUAUUUGGACUUACCUUUAGGCUAGGCAUACAAAUCAUUUCCCUCUUCCAAUUCUUUUACCAAAACUUGCUUAAAGAAUCACUUGGUAAUUUGGUACAUCUUAAGAAAUGGUAGAUACGUAGUGGUAUUUGAUACAACUUAGUAAAUUACUUUGAUUGUUCAUUUGUUUAAGGACAAAACUCUCCCACUUUCAGGACACUACACUAUACGUCACGCUUGAGCCCUGUCCUAUGUGUGCUGGAGCCAUUCUUCAAGCAAGAAUAGAUACUGUUGUGUGGGGAGCUCCCAAUAAGCUUCUUGGAGCUGAUGGUAGCUGGAUUAGGUAUGCAAUCAACAUGCUUCUUGUAUUGUUAAUAAUUGUAUGGUUGCAAAGGGCAUAUGAGAAUUAUGGCUCUUCCAUGUUCUUGAAUCUUUACCUAUUUCAUGAUAGAAUUAGUCUCUUGUUAUACCUUCAAUGCUCCUUUUGUUAUCUUUGGUUAAAUUAUUGGUCAUGCCUUAAAAGACCUAUAAAAGUUUAUAUAUUAUAACUAGAAAAGGACUACAGUUCCCUUAAUACAUGUGCCCUGAAACAUAAGUCACAACUAACUGCAUUUGAUGAGUCCAAAUAUUCUGACUAUAAUGUGAUAACUGUUCAAAUACCAUACUUAUUGAUCAGUGAGAUUUCAUUAAUAAGCCUAUAAAAAUGGUUUCUUGGGAUAUUUCUAUACCAUUGCCUACCUCUUUUUAUGUCAAAGUUCCCUCUAUGCCUUCUUCAGAACCUCAGUGAAUUGCAAUUUUCUUUAAUUAUACCUGGGCUUCCUCUUGUUAUACUAACCGGAAUGGAGUCCUCUUUGGAAAUUUUAUUAAUAGAAACAGCCUCUCCGCAUUUGCGGGGGUAAGACUGUGAUUGCGUUCAUUUACUCUUCCCAUAUUCCACUAAGUGGGAGCCUGAUGCACUUGACAGUCCUUUUUUUAUCAUCCCAUGAAAUACUUGUAACACAUUUUUAAGAUAUGCAAGAUAAAACAUAGUGCCUGUAUCUUUUUUGUAGGCUUUUCCCUGAUGGAGGAGAAAGUUCAUCUGAACCAAGAGAUAUACCACCUGCCCCAGUUCAUCCAUUCCAUCCAAGGAUAAAGAUAAGAAGAGGAGUCUUGGCCUCAGAAUGCGCAGACGCAAUGCAGCAAUUCUUUCAGCUGAGAAGGAAAAAGAAGAAAGAAGAAUCAUCAAAUGACCCAUCUUCCCUUCCUAUUACUCACCACCACCCCUCCAAGUUUCUUAACAAGAUUCAUGACAUCUUUCAUGUAAUGUUUUGUUUGUAAAAUAAAAUUGCAGACACAAUGUUUCCUCAUGUUUUAAAUGAGCAACUGAAUGAAAUUUUCAAACAUGAUUUAUGGUCUUGGUGAAAGGCAUAAUGUUCAAUUUCUCACGUUAUAUUUAUUCAGCUAAGUUGUCCUGGGCAAUAACUUUUGCAAACCAACCAUUGUUGUCAACUUUAACUUCACGUUAGAGCUUUGAAAAUUUAUUUAGUAGGCAUGGUAGGAAUAACAUUAUUUGUACUAUUAUCUGUAUCAAUUCUGUCACUCCUUUUAUUAUUUUACUUUGUUACAGGUGAAAUCAAAUACCAGAAACAAGAAACAAUAAGCAAAAGAUGCCUAAUGAGGAUGCAAUAUGAUAAUCUGCACAGAAAUUUACUUUACCAAGAACAUGAUGGACAUGCACAGUACAACUUCUCUGCGACGCUGGUUAAAAAAAUUAAAAUCAUGUGAUGUAUUCUUUAAAUUUUACUUUUUUGACUAAUUAAACAUUCUUUAAAUUUUAUUUUCUUGACUGAUUAUGAGUUACAUUAAAAGUGUUACUUGGUGAAGUUACACUGGAUGAUGAUAGACCAUAGUGAUAUAAUAAGAAUUGAUCUUUGCACAUUAAAUGUAUGAGAAAAUAUUUGUUGUCCGUUUGAUUCUUGGCAUUUUGAAAAUGUCUGUAAAAUAUAAAAUGAAUGGUAAAGAUAAAUAAAUUCACAUAUAGCAAGAGUUAUCUAAUUCUGAUGUGGAACUCAUAAUAAAACCUAUUGCCUUUCCCUCUUUAUCUUUCAUUUACUUGAAAAGGGUGAAAGUUGGAGUAUUAAAUAUUAAAGAUCAUUUGCAAGAGAAAUCUAGAGUAUGUACAACGAUUGAACUGCAGAUAAAACAUCAUAAUCACCUUGAUAAAUUAGAACAUCACAUAUUAACAGAAAGUGAUAUAGACAUCAUACUUAAAUAUGGGUCAUGUGUGGAAAAUAGUUGGUAAAAAAUCAUGCUCUCAUAAAUAUGAAACCUUGUUCCUUUUCUCUUCAUUCCUCAUCCACCCAACCUUUUACCAUAGUAAAAAUGAAAACCAAAUGUGCUCAAAGGAUAACUUAGGCCACAACCAUACUAUAUAUGGGUGUGAAUUAAUUAAAUCUACAGAUAAAUACGAUUUUAAGGGGCCCUUGAUGAAAGGGAAGCUAAUUAUACCUAUGCUUAUUUGCAUUGUUAACUUUCCUUGUUAGAUUAUUAGUGGUGAUGUCACAUUCAAAUGAAGGUUACAUCUCUCCUUCCAUAUAUCAUUCACGCAAUACUUCUCAAUCUUUCCAAGCCAUAUCAUAGCUUAUAUAUAAGAAGGUAACUCUCUGAUCUCUAACAAACCAUAACAUACAAUGGCUGCAAUGUUCUGGGCAUUGGUUUUAGCAAGCCUCUGCUGCCAACUAGCAUCAAUCAAUGCCCAAGCACCAGUAACCACACCAUCGAAGUUGCCACCCACAAUUCCAACUGCAACUUCCCCAUCUUCGGGCUCACCAGCUGUGACCAUAAAACCACCCAUUGCAGCAUCAUCCCCUCCCGUCACAAGCAAACCGCCAUCGGCAAGCCCUCCCACUUCCAGCAAACCACCAACUGCAACCCCACCGCUUGCAAAUGUGGCUCCCAAAUCAGCCCCCACGACAUCACCAGCUCCCAAGGUUGCUCCGGCUUUAAGCCCAAAAGCCCCACCACCACAACUACCAAAAAGUCCACCUGUACCAGCUCCCACAUUGCCAUCACCUACGAUAUCCCCAACACCAGUCCAAACACCACCAGCACCUGCGCCAGUAAAGGCAACACCAGCGCCUGCACCUGCGCCGAUUAACAAAGCACCAGCACCUGCACCCGUUCUUCCACCACCAACUCCAGCACCUGCACCUAUCACAGAGGUACCGGCACCCGCACCUCAACCCCACAAAAAAAGAAGACAUAAGCACAAGCACAGGAGGCAUAAAGCACCAGCUCCAGCACCAACUAUUCACAAGAGUCCCCCAGCACCACCAACAGAUACUACAGAAGAUUCGGAUACAGCCCCAGCACCAGCCCCAAGUCUGAAUUUGGUAAUAUCAUCUACUAGUAAAAUACCAACUCAAAAUUAAAUACGUAAACUGCUACUGACAAAGCUUAAUAUUUGAAAUAUAUAGCCAAAUCUAGUUAUAAGCAUGACAUUGUUAUGACACCAUCUUGUGUUUUUUACUCCACAGAAUGGUGCGCUGUCAAACCAUCGGCAAGGGAGAAAUAUAUGGGCAACAGCUGGAGUUGCUAUUAUUGUUUUGCUAGCUGUCACUGGCUACAGUUGCUAGCAAUCUUAUAGUGACCACGGAUUCACUCUAAACAGUUAUUUGGUUUGCAUAAUGUAAAAUCAUUUCAUGUGUAUAGAUCUAAAUAAUGAGAAUCUAUACCGAUGAUUCUUUCUUUAUUUUUGUGGUGAUAUUUGCUCAGAAAUAUUAAUGGAUAUGAAUUAUUGAAUUACGAAAAGAAGCAGGAGACUGGAGAUGUCAUACAAAAAUGUCUAUAGUUAUCAGUCAUCACUUUAAACUUGAUCAAUUUCUGAGUCCAUCUUUGUUUCCACUCGAAAGUCAUACUCCACAAUAAGUCCAAGAUUGUCAACUAAUUUGUGAUGCCGAAGACAUCCUGCACACUAGUAAGAUGCACUUCCAAUUACUUGAAAUAGAAUAAGCACUUGAACAAUACUAAUGUUAUAAAUAUAUCCUGCAGAACUACUGAAUGCAAUAUGACAAUUAUCACUAAGGUUUCCAAAAACAAAAGCAGACUUAGCAAAAGAAGCUAACAAAAGGGGACCUUGAAAACUCUACAAGCACACAUGAGUACAAGUUUAAAACAAUGAUGAAAAGAACAGUUUUUCGACAAUAUUGUGAAACAUACAGAUACAAAGUACAUGUUCAUAGGAAAUAAUAGAUACCUGUACAAAAACAGAGCCUCUUUCGUAAGCUACCCGAUUUACAAGCCUCUUUGUUCUUUCACCACAAGAGUUACAUGUAAACUCUACAAGCAAGCUUCUUCUUGGAAGACGCAAAUCAAUAGUAGCAUCCUGAACAUGAGACAACAUAAUUAACACAUUUUGAUUAAUGAACAACAGACAGAGUAAAUUCUCAAAAAGAAGACGCUUAAUCACCACCAACAACCUUAGUGCAACAAUUAGGCGUAACAUAAAUUAGUACAAAGAAAGAGAAAUGAUUACAAUUGUAACAGUUCAUCAGAAAACAGAUUGCUUUUGAAAUAGCAUAGCAGAGGAAACUAAUUGAUACUUUCUUAGAUAUAAAACCACUUUAUGAAUUGAUUGACAUUCAAUAACAACAAUGAAGUCUUGAUCCACUAAGUGGGAAAAUGAAUUUAAGACAUAUCAGCAACAACAACUAAGCCUUAUUUUACUAAGUGUAUAAAUUAAAUACUACUUGAUUGACAUUAUCUUGGAAAUUAUGAAGCCAAAAUAUAUCAUUGCCUUCAAUUUAAUUAAAUGACAAAAAUCACUACAGCUUAGCAAAGCUAAAACCAAAAUCAAUAAGAAAAACAAAUAAUAAAUCACACAGUUAUGCUUGUCUGCAUCACAAUUGACCAUAUUAUACACUGAAAUUGAAUAAUUGACUAAAAACCUUAGCAUAAUUUUAAUGCCAAACAUAAAUGAUGGCUAAGAGCAUCUAAUCUAAUAGUCAACAAAUUUGUUUUCCAUACUAAACACUCACCCAAAAAUAUCAGGAAAUCAUAAACCAUAGGAUAUAUAACCCAUUUCGUUUAUUUUUUGGCUUUGACCAAUAUCUCACGGAGAACUAAUCCUCAGACAUAAAACGGUGGUUAUAUAAAACUCUUCCCAAAAUGAAUGGUGACUCAAUGAUUCAAACACCUUAGGGGCAUAGUCCACUUACACUACCACCAAGAUUAUUGAGUUUUUUUAAACUCAUUUGAUGACAUUAUAUUUAUUACAAAUGUUAUACCUAUGUCUAUGAACUAUGAAGUACAUAAAAAUGUAAUAUUAAUACAAAUAAUAACUUAACUUUACAUGUCAACCACAUCACCAAAAAUCAAGUAAUUAACAAGUUCAAAAGAACUUAUUUUUACUUAUCCUUUUAUCUGCUGAAGUAAAAUGUGUUAGCAAAAAUAUUAAAAAAAAUCACUGACCACUUUUGAAUUGUCUGAUUCAGGUUCUGGGGUAAUCCCAGUAUCAUGACCCGCCAACCCAUUAACCCUAAAUACCCGACCCGAGAAACUUGCUGCUAAAGAAGAAAACCUUGACCUGAAAGCAAACCACUUUUUUUGUUAUGACACUAGAAAAUCAAUGCCCAAGAAAUUCAAAUUGAGAACAGUGAAAUAUAAAGAUAAAAACUUUGACCAGACCCAGAAACAAUUUUAAAAAUUUAGACGGGGAUUAUGGAUAGGAACCUAACCUAGAAACUGUAAUUGAAGGAUAGUUUAGGUUAGAAGGUGAGAAUGGAGGGUAAAGGUUGAAGCAAAGGGACUGAAUUUUUGGAUUUAGUUUGGAGGAAGAGAGAGUAGGAAGAAACGAAGGGACACUGGAGACUGUGCUUGACGCCAUUGUUGGCUUUUGAAAUUUAUCUACCAAUUCUAUUUUCUAUAUAUUGGCCCAAAUAGUUUUAUAUUUUUUUGUUAGACUUAGACUACUUGGGAAAAUGGUUGUUUAGUUGGGAAAGUUAACAACCUAACACUGGUUAUUCUGUAUAUAUAUCUAAAUAACAUUUUUAUUAUGGAAAAUAAAAACAUAUAAAAACUGUAUAUCCAAUAAAUGACAAUAUAUAAAACUUUUCUGCUGUGUUAUCAGAUAAAAUAGGUCAUAGCUUUGUCUUGAUGCUGCAUGGUUUUGUAGUCAGCAACACUUUAAUUACAUGGAUAUAUGUAAAGUUAUAUUAUAUAUAUAGAAAAUUGUAUUGCUUUUCUUUUCAUUCUAAAUCAUUUUAUUCAAAAAGAUCAUGCUUUUUUUCUCUUUACUCACUUUUGUUGCAGAUUUUACACAAGAUGGGAUAAUAAUAAUAAUAAUAAUAAUAAUAACACAUGAAGUACAUGACAAUGUUUUACCAAGGUAUAGUACAACUGAGCCUUUUCAUUAAUUUCUAUUUCACGUGAAUAAUGAAAAUUGUAUACAAUUGAGGAUGAUAUUUGGCAAAAUAUACCAAAUGAAAUAAUCAAGUUGAUCAAUAAUACAUCAACUUGAAAGAAGACUACUAAUCUGUAUCCAAUAAAUAUGGCAAUGGCCUUAUUAUUAAUUAGUCUUCCUCAUCCACUUCAUGAAAAGGAAGUGGUACUGUCUCCACUGCUCUAAACUUGCCUGCAUUAUUUAGAUGCUCAUUCUCCAAUCUGCACCAAUCAAAUUUAUUUAUUAAAGCAUUAGAUGUAACCAUCUUCACUUUAAAUGAUUUAAUAUUAGUAUUUGAGACAAGUUAUGCAUGUAUCUUAACAGUCCAUUUGCAUGUUGGAUUUUGGAGGAAAUGGAAAAGGAAAAGGAAAGUUUGAGAUACAUGAAAUAUAUUUGUGAGAUGACCCUCAAGUUUUCUCAUUUCUAUCCAAAACCAACUCGCAAACGGAAAUAAGUGAAAUAAAUGAAAUUUCAGUUCACUUAUUUACCUGAAGAAAUUCCACAGCCCUCUUCUAAUAACUUCAAGAGCUGCUAAAAAUAAGCUUGUUACUCGAUAAUCAACAUUUUCAAAACUUGAAUGGAUGACAGUUUGCAACCAUGCAAGCCUCAGAAUAAGAUUUAAUCCCUGCAUAAAAGUUUUUCCAUGGUCAAAAUAAGCUUUAAGAGAGUAGGGCCCAUACUUUGUUAGUCUCAAAAGAAAUCAUAAUUUGUUUCUAUUAUGUCUCCUUAAUAUUAAACAAAAUAUUAUCAUGUGAUAUUAUCUUGUCUUUCUUUUUUUGAGGAAUCUCACUUUAAUUUGUAUAAUGGCCUUAUCAGCAUUUCUUUUGAGAAUAUGUUUAUUCUCCCACUUUGCAGCAUAUUAUCAUGAACAACACCUAAUAAUAGCAUAGGUUAAUGUCCUCUUUGCUAAGAUGUUAGAACAUGGUAAUUAUUAGGCUAAUUUUGAUAAGUGAUAGGUUUAUAGCAGUAAUUGUUUAUGUACCAUGGAAAAGUAGUAAAUGGCUUUUCUGCUAAGCAUUAAUUCAUUUCUAAGCCAUGGAUUCUUGGAAUUGAUUUGAAACAAACCCCAAUCUUUUACAAAGUCCCAAUACAAUUGGUACAUAGUUGCUGCACUUGACAUGAUCACAACAAGACAUAGCCAUAUAACACUUCCAUCUUUCUCAUAAGCGACUUUAGCACCUGCUGCUAACAUUGCUGAUACAUAUUUCCCUAGAUUCACAAGGUGGCUUGUUUGGCCUUCAUCAAACCAUCUUCUAGCACACUACAAAAAUCAUUAGAGUCACUUUAGUAUUAUGCUAUUGGAUUUUAGAAUAUGCUUCUAGAGAAGCAGAAAUUUAAGUAUUUUACCUGCAUAGCCCUCCAAUAAUAGGGUAGAAAUGACACUGCAUAAGCAAGAUCUCUAUAGUGUUUUGUUCUCAUGCAGUAACCAUAGUCCUGAGUUUUGUAGCUUCCAGUUAUGUAGUAACAUGCUACAUAUUCUAGGUUCCUGAGCAUUGGCACCUAUACAGUAAUGAUAUAAUUAUUAAGGGUGCUUAAUUUCUUCCCUUAUUGCAAGCUAUUUAUUAUCAAUAAUUGAAGUUUCCAACAAAAUGUACCUGACUGCAAAGUUGAUCAGCCAUGAAAAAGUCUAGCAUGACAACCUAAACAGAAAAAGACAGUGUAAGAUUUAUGGCCACAACAACAUAUCUUAUUUCUAACUUUAAACUUUUUGGAAAAUUAGUGGUACUGUGUAUUAUGCUUGAUGACACUAUGUUACAAUGAUGAUAGUGGGAUACACUACCUUAUAAAGGGGUGACAAAAUUAUGUUCCUUAUCACACAAAGGAAAUGAUAACGGCUCGACCCGUAUAUAAUGUUGAAAGGACACACCAGCAUUAGUAAGAAGACCUGCACAUGUAGUAAAAAGAAAGUUACAUUUAAGCUAUGGCUAACUUAAGUGUUAUGCAAUUAACAAGUGCCUAUAAAAAUGCAGAACUAAAUGUACUAUGUAGUGAUAUACCAAAAGAAAUUUUUUUACCAGUAGAAGUAGUCCUGGAAUGCCUUGAACUUGGGCAUACGAAUACCAUUUAGUCAAUAGAGUCAGAUGAAGAAGCAUUACUCCAACCACAGCAGUCAUUCCCAUUGUACAAAUUAAGAAUGUAUCUCUGUACUUAAGGUCUUUCGUCGGGGUGAGCUCAAAAAUGGAGCUGUAAUUUAUACGAGUCUUUCUCCACGCAAGAAUGUUGCAGCCAUAAAGAAAGAAAUGUAGAAACAUUAGGCUGAACAUGCUGCAAAAAUAAAACAUCAACUUAAUAACUUAUUAAUGUUCAAGUGCUAUGCAAAUAUGGAUGGAAUAUGCUGCUACAAGAAGUAUAUUUACUUACCUAAGCACAGGGUACACAGUUUCCAUGUAAACUGAAUGUUGUUGUGGUCUGUACAGACCAGUUACAUGAGCCAUUAUAACAUAUCCGGCCAAAAGCGCCAAUAAGCAUCCAGUAAAUAGUCCUGAUUUUAUAAUAAAAUCAUAUAAAUGUUAGAAAUUAACUUUAGUUAUGAAUUAUGAACAAGGAAUUUUGAAUAAUUUUUAUUUUUUGUAAGUUUUAGCUUGCAAACAAAAUCAAUGUGUUCAUACAUGAGGAAACACAAAGUCAUCAGUGACUCAGUGCUAGUGAAACUCAUUUAGGCACCAUAGCCAUUUAAAAAACAUUGUCAUGUUGCUCCUAUUGGUUAGUGUGAUGGGCCUUUUGAGUUUGAAGUUCAUUUUUUUGGAUAUAGUGGUGCCAUUCCUUUUAUGAAUUAGUGGCUUGGAAGGGUCCAUAUAGGAUUUUCUUUAGAUACUAAUGGACACAAAUCAAACAAGCUUAAAGCUCUAUAGUCUAUACCACAAUGAUUGAUUAGCACAAGACAAAAUAGUAAAAGUGGAAAAUAAAAAGUUCCAAUCUUUGGCCAAAAGUAACUAACCAAUGAAGAAAGUUAUGGCAUGUGAUUCUUUAGCCUGACUUGUUCUAAGGUACUUCAUGGCCUUUCUUCUAUUGUCUUCAGCAAAGUUUUUGACAAAUAGCUCCUCAACUUCAUCAGCUAACUUCAUCACCUGUCAUUUCUGGGACUAAUAAGCAAAUAAAGCUGAUUCACAAAGUUAAAAAAAAUCCGGUGCAAGUGACAGACAAGCAUAUCUAAUUUUUAUUUGCAUGAUUAUGAACAUCUUUUGGUGCAGACAUGAAUUAUAGGAGUAUUGGCCACUAGGGAUUGUUGAUGAAACUUUUAGGUGCAAGGAUAAUUGUUGGCCAACAUGUUAACAUGAUCUAAUAUAGUAUCAUACACAUUUUUCAUUGAAGUCGGAUAUUUUAGUAUGCAACAGUUUUAACCUAGGCCUGUGAUUUACCUUGUCUGAGCUAUUGAAAUAGGAACUCUCAACUACUUUGAGAUAGAUUGGAAGAAUUUGUUUUGAAGUGACCUGAAAAACACGAAGAAUUUCAUUUUGUGAAUAGUUGAAACUCCUAUUUAAUUAAAAUCAACUUUGAAUCCUCUAAUAAUCCACAUACCUUGUCAAACUUCUUCAGAAUCUUUAAAAAUGCAAGCAUAUUCAAGUUCCUGAAAAUCAAGAUAAUGGAGAAAACAUUAUAUUUCGCAUAAUAAAAUCCGAUAUAUUUGUUAUGUUUGUCAAUCAAAUAAGUCUCUAUGUGACCAAAUAAGUGUGGGAUUGUUAUUAUACCUAUAAACUUUGAGAUAUCCUAGUCCUUUGUAGAGUUCAAUGAAGCCUCCUUUGAUCAUCUUUUCUGCAUGAUGCAACUUUGUUUUGUUAACAUAAACCUUGCUACCUUCUGCACCACAUUUCCUUGAUGACUGGUUAAGCAAAUCUUCCCAGACAAGGUAACUUAUUGACGAGAAGGUUCGGGAUGGCGUUGUCAAAGGAAUGUUUAUCCUUAGAUUCUUUCCUUUGCAAUUGAUGAUUCGACCAGAGUGUGUCCUCAUUUUCCCAUCUUCUCUUUUCAUCUGCAUCGAUUUCCCGAACUCAUCCGCGCGAGGGGAGUCUAAACAUGGUACUUCAUCUUUAUCAUCUGUGCUAGUUUCCUGUAUUUCUUCUUGCAGUUCUCUGUUCCUAACAGAGUCCUCCUCUGUAUCCAAUAAAAAAAGUAUAACUAUUUUUUCUCAUGACUAUUUCAUCUAGUGUGUUUUUCCAUAAUAAGCAAAAAAAUUAAAUUAUUGUUUAAGCAACCAUAUAUUAAAACUAAAACUGAUUCACCUAUGAUAAAGAUUUCAUAUUCAAAUGCAUAUAACUGUAAAUAUGUGCCCACAUGAUGCGCUCAUUUUAAAGCAUAUAUGAUAACAAAGAAGAGAAUGUGACACCAAAUUUACAUGUUGUAAGAAAAUAACUAAAAUGACAUGAAGUGCAUGCAUGGAUUUCCUUUUACUGGUUAGAAAGGGUCCAACUUGAACACAUGAAAUUAUCAAUUUGCUGCGUUAAGAAUGCAUGAUUGAUUAUAAUUUAUGUACCAUUAGAGAAUGUGCAUGAGAUAGAUUGGUCCUCCUUCGAAUCCUCGGAACACCCUUCUUUGCCGUGCUUCUCCAUGAAUGUUGAUUUAAGCUCAAGCAAUAUUUCCAUUUGUUUUUUCAAUGAAUCGCCUCUCUCCAUGUAUUCUUCUUCCUUUGUUCUGUAGAACUUAUUAACCUUGUUUAGUUGCUGGUCUAAACAUGCAAAAAACUCUUUAGUAGCAUCAGUGUCAGCAAAUUGUUCUAGCAGUUCUGUUUCAUAAAUGUCCCCCUUAAUAGUUGAUGAAGCAAGUUUCCUAUGGACCUGUUACAAAAAAUAAAAAGUCUCUCAAUCUUAUGAACCACUCGAAUAUGCAAUAUCGAACAACUAUGCUUCUUUUGUCUUAUAAAUUGAGAAAUUACUUGAAUUGUUCCAUGAUCUCUAUGUUGAUGGCCAAAUAGAGAGUAAUUCCUUAGUGAUGAAAUGAUGGACUUAGGCACAGAACUACUUUGGUGCAUGCUAUUGUUGGUAUUAUUAAGGACUUGGUAUUUUUUUAGGCCUUUCUUGAGCUGCCAAUAAUCCACAAAGGCUUCUUUCCAUUCUGGAAUGAGUUGCCCCUCAAAUUGCUUAGAGAACUUCACCAUCUUUACUCUCUAUUCGUUUUUCGAUGGAGAAUUAAGAACAAGAAAUAAGGUUCUAGCUGAUAUGUAAUACCUUGUGAGUGUUCAAUAAAAACCCAAGAUAACAUUAUAUAUGAGGCUGAAAAAGGUAAAGGUAUUUGAUUGAUAUUGUGGUAGUGAUGCUUUGGAGCACAUUCUAUAAUAUACUUAGAUACUGUGUUUCUCCACUUGAGGAAUUGGCAUGUACAAUGGCCCGGUUCGCCGGAAAGUAACCAAACCAGCACCGGUUAUGAUCACUUCUCGGCCAACAUGUUCAUCAAGAUUUUGAAAUGGUUUGGAAUUUAAAGAGGUUUGGAGUGGGGUCAAAUUGCACUAUGCAUGGCCUUUUUUCAUUUAAGGGGAGCUGAAUAAAGUUUGAUACAAUAAUUUAGAAGCAAAAACAUUUUUGAUAUAUAUGACACUUUAUGUGAUAGUGUCCUAUAAGUUAAGUCAAGAAUUGCUCAUUUGUUUUAAAGUGAAGCUUAUUGGCUAAAUUAUUUGCUAGCACAAAAAAGUGUCCUCUAAUUAGACCAGCUAAGAAUUCCACUAUUUCACGAUAUCUAAAAGCUACAAUUACUUUCACAACCUCUUCUCCACUUUCAUUAAGCACCCCCUUUCGUUUGCAAAUGUUAAAGUUGAGUGCUCACGUGUAAGCCUAGAGCAGCAAAUGCACCAUCACUAAAAAGAAACAUAGGUUAGUUAUCUCAAAUCGUGUCUCGCAGUAAUGAAAAAUUUAUGUCAAUUAAAAAUUUUAAACAUUCUUCAUUAUCAUUGGACGAAAAAUAAUUUGGUACAACAUAUCUUUAUUCUCCUUAAAGCAGCAAAGAGGUUCAUCCUCAUCAAUUUUUCUCAAUUCAAUUCUGAAACUCGGAUUGAUAAGUGGUAAUGACAAGACAAAUUUUGUUCCUCUACAAAGUAGAGAAGAAUAAUAUAACCACUUUCUUGCUCCCCUCUUUCUCAUGCCAAGAAAAAUAAAAUGUAUAAUUAUAAAGUGGUUUUAAUGAAAUUCUAUCUAACACCCUUAUCUACCUUUCAGCGGAAUUUUUAUUUCUUUAAAUUAUUGGUGGUAUACAUUAGGCAACUUCCAAUUGUUACAUGGCAGAAUCUUUGCACCUUUGGAUAUAAAAGAUUAGGCUCACUUAAAUCACCUAACUUUAACACAUGGCUCGUAUAGAAUAAUUAUUUCAUAUUACAUGUACAAGAUGUAAUUUAGGGUAAGCAGCGCAAUAUUGUGGUUGAUAUCUAAGGGAUAAGAUCCUCUUCGAGUAGAGUGGUUGCGAUAACUUUUGUCAUUAUUUUAUUUAAAAGUAAUUUAAACUUAGACUGUUAGUAUUUUUUGUAAGACAUAUAUCAUAUUCCUCAUUUAGUAUUAGAGUCUUCAAUAUUGGAGAAGAUCUUGCAUUAUCGAAUAAGGGUGGUAAUAAAUCUGGUAGACUGGUACCUAGCUGAUUGCAUUUAGUGGUUGUUGUAUAGCAAAGGAUCUUCAUUGUUCUAUUCCUUGGUUCUAAGCCCACUACCUAGCCAAAUUGUGAACAUGAUGGGAUCUUCCAUAAAAAUUAAGAUACAAAAUUCAAAAACAUGUAGUUGUUUCACUCAUGCUCCUCUCACACAAAGCCUCCUUUGAUCAUCUUUUCUGCAUGAUGCAACUUUGUUUUGUUAACAUAAACCUUGCUACCUUCUGCACCACAUUUCCUUGAUGACUGGUUAAGCAAAUCUUCCCAGACAAGGUAACUUAUUGACGAGAAGGUUCGGGAUGGCGUUGUCAAAGGAAUGUUUAUCCUUAGAUUCUUUCCUUUGCAAUUGAUGAUUCGACCAGAGUGUGUCCUCAUUUUCCCAUCUUCUCUUUUCAUCUGCAUCGAUUUCCCGAACUCAUCCGCGCGAGGGGAGUCUAAACAUGGUACUUCAUCUUUAUCAUCUGUGCUAGUUUCCUGUAUUUCUUCUUGCAGUUCUCUGUUCCUAACAGAGUCCUCCUCUGUAUCCAAUAAAAAAAGUAUAACUAUUUUUUCUCAUGACUAUUUCAUCUAGUGUGUUUUUCCAUAAUAAGCAAAAAAAUUAAAUUAUUGUUUAAGCAACCAUAUAUUAAAACUAAAACUGAUUCACCUAUGAUAAAGAUUUCAUAUUCAAAUGCAUAUAACUGUAAAUAUGUGCCCACAUGAUGCGCUCAUUUUAAAGCAUAUAUGAUAACAAAGAAGAGAAUGUGACACCAAAUUUACAUGUUGUAAGAAAAUAACUAAAAUGACAUGAAGUGCAUGCAUGGAUUUCCUUUUACUGGUUAGAAAGGGUCCAACUUGAACACAUGAAAUUAUCAAUUUGCUGCGUUAAGAAUGCAUGAUUGAUUAUAAUUUAUGUACCAUUAGAGAAUGUGCAUGAGAUAGAUUGGUCCUCCUUCGAAUCCUCGGAACACCCUUCUUUGCCGUGCUUCUCCAUGAAUGUUGAUUUAAGCUCAAGCAAUAUUUCCAUUUGUUUUUUCAAUGAAUCGCCUCUCUCCAUGUAUUCUUCUUCCUUUGUUCUGUAGAACUUAUUAACCUUGUUUAGUUGCUGGUCUAAACAUGCAAAAAACUCUUUAGUAGCAUCAGUGUCAGCAAAUUGUUCUAGCAGUUCUGUUUCAUAAAUGUCCCCCUUAAUAGUUGAUGAAGCAAGUUUCCUAUGGACCUGUUACAAAAAAUAAAAAGUCUCUCAAUCUUAUGAACCACUCGAAUAUGCAAUAUCGAACAACUAUGCUUCUUUUGUCUUAUAAAUUGAGAAAUUACUUGAAUUGUUCCAUGAUCUCUAUGUUGAUGGCCAAAUAGAGAGUAAUUCCUUAGUGAUGAAAUGAUGGACUUAGGCACAGAACUACUUUGGUGCAUGCUAUUGUUGGUAUUAUUAAGGACUUGGUAUUUUUUUAGGCCUUUCUUGAGCUGCCAAUAAUCCACAAAGGCUUCUUUCCAUUCUGGAAUGAGUUGCCCCUCAAAUUGCUUAGAGAACUUCACCAUCUUUACUCUCUAUUCGUUUUUCGAUGGAGAAUUAAGAACAAGAAAUAAGGUUCUAGCUGAUAUGUAAUACCUUGUGAGUGUUCAAUAAAAACCCAAGAUAACAUUAUAUAUGAGGCUGAAAAAGGUAAAGGUAUUUGAUUGAUAUUGUGGUAGUGAUGCUUUGGAGCACAUUCUAUAAUAUACUUAGAUACUGUGUUUCUCCACUUGAGGAAUUGGCAUGUACAAUGGCCCGGUUCGCCGGAAAGUAACCAAACCAGCACCGGUUAUGAUCACUUCUCGGCCAACAUGUUCAUCAAGAUUUUGAAAUGGUUUGGAAUUUAAAGAGGUUUGGAGUGGGGUCAAAUUGCACUAUGCAUGGCCUUUUUUCAUUUAAGGGGAGCUGAAUAAAGUUUGAUACAAUAAUUUAGAAGCAAAAACAUUUUUGAUAUAUAUGACACUUUAUGUGAUAGUGUCCUAUAAGUUAAGUCAAGAAUUGCUCAUUUGUUUUAAAGUGAAGCUUAUUGGCUAAAUUAUUUGCUAGCACAAAAAAGUGUCCUCUAAUUAGACCAGCUAAGAAUUCCACUAUUUCACGAUAUCUAAAAGCUACAAUUACUUUCACAACCUCUUCUCCACUUUCAUUAAGCACCCCCUUUCGUUUGCAAAUGUUAAAGUUGAGUGCUCACGUGUAAGCCUAGAGCAGCAAAUGCACCAUCACUAAAAAGAAACAUAGGUUAGUUAUCUCAAAUCGUGUCUCGCAGUAAUGAAAAAUUUAUGUCAAUUAAAAAUUUUAAACAUUCUUCAUUAUCAUUGGACGAAAAAUAAUUUGGUACAACAUAUCUUUAUUCUCCUUAAAGCAGCAAAGAGGUUCAUCCUCAUCAAUUUUUCUCAAUUCAAUUCUGAAACUCGGAUUGAUAAGUGGUAAUGACAAGACAAAUUUUGUUCCUCUACAAAGUAGAGAAGAAUAAUAUAACCACUUUCUUGCUCCCCUCUUUCUCAUGCCAAGAAAAAUAAAAUGUAUAAUUAUAAAGUGGUUUUAAUGAAAUUCUAUCUAACACCCUUAUCUACCUUUCAGCGGAAUUUUUAUUUCUUUAAAUUAUUGGUGGUAUACAUUAGGCAACUUCCAAUUGUUACAUGGCAGAAUCUUUGCACCUUUGGAUAUAAAAGAUUAGGCUCACUUAAAUCACCUAACUUUAACACAUGGCUCGUAUAGAAUAAUUAUUUCAUAUUACAUGUACAAGAUGUAAUUUAGGGUAAGCAGCGCAAUAUUGUGGUUGAUAUCUAAGGGAUAAGAUCCUCUUCGAGUAGAGUGGUUGCGAUAACUUUUGUCAUUAUUUUAUUUAAAAGUAAUUUAAACUUAGACUGUUAGUAUUUUUUGUAAGACAUAUAUCAUAUUCCUCAUUUAGUAUUAGAGUCUUCAAUAUUGGAGAAGAUCUUGCAUUAUCGAAUAAGGGUGGUAAUAAAUCUGGUAGACUGGUACCUAGCUGAUUGCAUUUAGUGGUUGUUGUAUAGCAAAGGAUCUUCAUUGUUCUAUUCCUUGGUUCUAAGCCCACUACCUAGCCAAAUUGUGAACAUGAUGGGAUCUUCCAUAAAAAUUAAGAUACAAAAUUCAAAAACAUGUAGUUGUUUCACUCAUGCUCCUCUCACACAAACAAAGUGGCAUCUUUUCAGUUUUUUUCCUAGACAUGGAUUGCAAAAUCUCCAUUAUAGUUGUGAAGAACUGUCAUUGCCCUUAAGAUACCUGACUCAUAUAUACUUGUUUUAUUUUGUAUUUGUGCCCUCUCUCUCUAACUGUAGUAUUGUAUGCAUGGAAAAUAAAUUUCUGCACAUAUUAUACAGGCAAAUUUUGAAGUAUAAUUACAAUGAUUACUUUAGUUAACAAAUAUUACCAGUUUGCUAACAAAUUAUAAGAGAAUAUCUGAUAAGAUGAGUUCUCACUUAGUCACUCAUAAAAUAGAACCUUAUAUGUCAUUGUCCGCUAGACCCAAUUGGUUAAUAUCUUCCUUGGAACAUUUGAAGCUAAAAUAAAUCCUUCCUACUUGGGUAAAAAAUUAUGUUAUUGUGAUUACAUGUUUUUGAAGGCAACUUUAUUAUAAAACAUAGAUACAUUGUGAAUAAAUAUUUUUUCCUAUUUGGCAUGGCCUGUAUCAUAAAUUUUUUAACUCUGACAUUCUUUGCUAUUGAUAAAAAAAUAAAUUUGCAAUUAUUUAAUUUCAAUAUUUAACAAGUUGAUAUUUUCCUAAUCAAUCAUAAUAAAUAACAUAGUAAGUGACACAAUCCCUUUCACAUACGCGUAUAACUUUACCUUGUUGGCCCUAAAAAACUGAAUAAACUAAAAUAUCUGCAAUUAUAUGCAAAUGGUGUUCAAUCAUUGCUUAAACAUCAUAUUUACCAAUGUCUAAAACAAAGAGAAAGUAGUGGUUGAGAAGUUUCUAACAGUAGAGGAGCUAGCAUAAUAAAGUACUGAACUUUUGCAUGCUAAUCACGACUAAAAUAGUAACUGAAGCACCAAAAUAGGGUCUAACACUUGUUUAAAGCUAAGCCAAUAAUUAAUAUCAAUCUUGAUAUAAUAUCAAUUGCAUGAUUAAGCAAACCAGAUAGGAUAUUCAUCAAUUAUAUAUAGGCUUAAUGGUAUUAAUGUCUGCUAAUCCAAAUGAUAAGGUCUGAAAUUUUAUUAUGGAUUCAUGUAAUGCAAAUAAAACUAUUUGGUGGGUCCCCAAGAAGAUACUCUAGAAAAAAAUGUAGGCUAAAUGAUUUACUUUAAGAAAAACAUAACAUAUACUUGAAGUAGGUAAAGAAAAAGAUUAGUAACGAAAUCUAAGGCUUUUAGGAUAUGGCACCAAUGACUGAGCAUGAAAAUGUUGGUCUGAUUAGGAUUGCAUAACAUUUGGUGCGCCAUUGCAGAACCUAUACCCAACCCACGUCUGUGUUUAUUUUUUCUGUAUCAUUAUUUACAUUAUCAUUCAUUCUCCUCCGAUUUUUAGAAGAAAAAAAAUGUAUAUAUUAAUAGUGUAUAAACAUUGACUCUUCAAAAAAUUAAAUGAUAGAUAAUACAAUAAUUUUAUAUAAAUCUUUACAUUUACAUUUUACAUUGCAUAGAAAUUACAUUAUUUUUUAGAAACAAACAGCAUACAUUUGACCCCACGUGCCUUUUGAUCUUGACAUAUUUUUAAUAAUUGAUUUUGUAAAAUUGAUUUCGAUUAAUAUUGAAUUUAAAGUGGAGUAAUUUUUGUUGAAAUGUUUUUAUUUUAAAAUCAAGUUUGUUUAAAAUUUUGGUAUUAAAGUUCAACCCAACACAAAAAUUAUAUUUUUGUCAUAUUUGGUCGAAUCAUAAUUUUCAUGCAAAACUGGUUUUGUUAUAUAAUUAUCAAACAUUCCAAGUUUUGAAAAAUGAUUCUGCAAGCUACUGAGAUGAAACUAGACACAACUCUUCUACUCAUUUCACAUAACUUAUUACGAAUACUAAAAUUCGAAUAUAAAAAAUAGUGGUUGGAUUGAGUUGGAUCUAAAUAAUAAUCAACCCAGCUCAAUAUGGCUCACUUAAAAAGUGGAUUAAGUUGAAUUAACUUCUUUUUUCAACAUAUAUUAAAAACAAUAUUCUUUCUAAAAUAAUUAUAGGAAUGUAAAUUAAAUUAAAAAUGUGUCACAUAAAGCAAAUUUCAAUUAAAAAUCGUAUCCAUCUCAAAUAAAGUAAAAUUUCAUAUUACCAGUUUUACAUGAAACAUAAUUCCCAUAUAAGAUACAAUAAAAAUAAUAAUCGAGUCUUAAUCUUAUUAAAUAAGAUUAGCGACAUGGAUUGAUGAACAUCAUAAUAUUCUAUCAUAAAUUAUUUUUAUUGACAAAACACUAAUAUUUAAGCUUUUUCUAAUAUUUUUGUCUAUGUUUUUUCUUAACCUCACUUUGCCUCUAAAAAUUGGACUAAGCUUUAUUUGAUUCACUCUCCUUGGUAAUGCUUUUAUUGGUCUCCUUUAUACAUAUUUAAAUUACCUAAGACAUGAUUCUAAUAUCUUUGUUAGAACUUAUUUGAAUUUUCUUCCUAAUACAUUGAUUAACAUUCUCAUAUCUGUUAAGUCAAAAAUAAGGUAAAUAAAAAUCAAGUUACAACUCAUUAAUUUAACACAAGUCAAAAUGCACUACAAUAAAAAUUUCCUGAUUUAGUAGGGAGAACUUUGUGGUUCAUAACUUCAUAAUCAUUCUACAUUUAUUAAAAAUAAUUGUCUCCAUAAAAUAUACAAGUGAUUCAAAUCACACCAAAAAAAACACUAAAAAUAGCUAGCAAAUUUUAAAAUAAAAAAUAAGCAACAUUAACCCACUAAAAUUAAUAAGUGUUAUUUUUAUAUGGCAACGUUUUUUUUUUUCUUUUUUAAGAAGAGUGGGAGGGAAUGCACUUUUAGGAAUUUGAACAUGGAUUUUCAGAGAUUGUCUCCUAGUUCUAUGAAUUAAGGUUAAUUAAUUUGUUUGACAACACUAACUUAUACCUGUUAUUUCAUAGAUUAUAUCUUAUUGAGUUAGUUAUAAUCUUGUACAUUUAUUGGAUGUUAAGGAAAUAGAUAUUUAUAAUUUUGAAGAUAAGAUGGAUAAAUCGCAGGUAGUAAUCCAGAAGAGGAUGCAGUACUGAAUUAUACACCUUUUCCCCCAUUGUAUAUGGUUCAUUUCCGGGACAAAAUUUUAUGCAAUUUGAGCAUUGACUUAAUUCAAACAUGCAAAUAAAGUAUUUUCUGCCAUAGUUUAAACUCUCACAUGUUUGUGGAAGAUAAAGGUAUGCAAUUUUAUCAUACUAUGCUAGCUAGAUAUCGUAAUAAACAACGGUCAUUCAACAACGCAAUUUUGAACAACGUUGUUGAAAAUGAAACAGAAGAAUAUCAACAACGCAUAAUGAAGCAGACACUGUCAAUUUGUGUAACUUCAACGGCGCAUUUUUGACAAAGCGUUGUUGUGUCUUUGUUGAACAAUUGAUUUGGAAUCAAUAUACAUGGAGUGUAAUUCAUUGAAUCAUUUCUCUUCUUAUCUCUAACUAACCCACACUUAAUUCUCUCUCAUUCUUUCUCUUCUGUUUCUGCAACACACCUUCACAUUCUGUUUUCUUCUUCUAAGUGCAGUGGCACUGUUUUUCUCCAACAAUUGGUAUCAAAGCUAGUUAGAUCAUCAAUCUGCAUCACCUUCUUCUUCUUCUCCUCAUCAUCUUCAUCCUCAAUGGGACACACGAGUACAAGCUUCCCAGCAAGCUUACCAGUGCUUGAUGGAAAGAACUGGAAUAGAUGGAACAUCCAAAUGAAAGCAAUCAUGGGAUUCCAAGAAAUUGCAGACAUAGUUGAGCUCGGUCACCCUCAAUUAGGAGCAGAACCUUCAGAGCAAGAUCGAGUAGCAUUCAGGGAGAACAAGAGGAAAGAUUGCAAGGCUAUGUGUCUUCUACAUCAAUGUGUUGAUGAGGCACACUUUGAGAAAAUUGCCUCAGCUCAAACAUCACAAGAAGCAUGGAUAAUCUUGGAGAAAUGUAACAAGGAAGCAGAUCAACUGAAGAAAGUCAGACUUCAAACAAUGAGGAGACAGUAUGAAUUGAUUCAAAUGGAACCGAAUGAGAAAAUUGCCCAAUUCUUCAAUAGGGUAAUCUCUCUCACAAACCAGAUGAAAGCAUGUGGAGAAAGCAUGGCAGAUCAAGCUGUUAUAAAGAAAAUUCUGAGAACUCUCACCCCCAACUUUGAUCACAUAGUAGUUGCUAUUGAAGAAUCAAAGAAACUGGAAGACCUCAAAUUAGAAGAUCUUCAGGGGUCCCUCGAGGCUCAUGAGCAGAGGCUCAUUGAGAGGUCAACUGAUAAAGUUAACCAAGCACUGCAAGCUCAAACCUUCAAGAAGGGGAGAUAUCUUGGCAGAAACAAUGAAAGAAACCGAGGAAGGGGAAGAGACUUCAGGGGGAAGAAUUUGGCUAACUCAGAAGUGCAAGAUCAAGAAAGAAUUGAUCUUGAUCAAGCAUCAAGCUACUCAAAGAGAGGAGGUGGUAGCAAUUGGAGAGGAGGAAAGAAGAGACUUGAUAGGAGAAGAAUAAAAUGCUUUAAUUGCAGCAAGAUGGGACACUUCUCAUCUGAGUGUCAAUCUCAGCCAAGNNNNNNNNNNNNNNNNNNNNNNNNNNNNNNNNNNNNNNNNNNNNNNNNNNNNNNNNNNNNNNNNNNNNNNNNNNNNNNNNNNNNNNNNNNNNNNNNNNNNAGGAUCUUUGGUUCAGCCUGUUAUAGACACAUUCCUGAUCAGAAAAGAGGGAAAUUGGAUGACAAAAGUGAGCUGCUAAUGUUUGUAGGAUACCAUCCAACAGGUUCCUACAAAUUGUUUAAUCCUAAAACCAAUCAAGUAUUGUUCAGCAGAGAUGUACACUUCAAUGAGGCAAGCACCUGGGCUGAAAAUCAAGCCAAACCAGCAUCUACAAUUCAAGUUCCACUAGAAUGGGAUUCUACUGAUCUUAUGCCUACUGAGCUUAUGAAUCAGGGUGAGGAUGACACACAUUCAGAGACUGGAACCAGUACUAGUGAUACAGGCAGACCCUCUAGGAUGAGAAACUUGCCAGCCAGACUGAGGGAUUGUGAAAUUCUACCUGAUAAUCUCCUCACAAAAGAAUGAGAACUUGUUCAGUACUUGGCUCUCUUUGCAGAUACUGAACCAAUAUCAAUUGAUGAAGCACUUAGUAGCAAGGUAUGGAAGAAAGCUAUGGAUGAAGAAUUGAAGUCAAUUGUCAAGAAUGAGACUUGGGAACUGGUUAAUCUCCCUGAGAAUCAAAAACCAAUCUCAGUAAGGUGGGUGUUUAAGACUAAACUCAACCCAGAUGGCUCUGUUGGCAAGUACAAAGCAAGGCUAGUAGCAAAAGGCUUUAUGCAAAGGGAAGGUGUUGACUUUUCUGAGGUAUUUGCACCUGUAGCUAGAAUUGAAACAAUCAGACUAAUAGUGGCAUUGGCAACAAAGAACAAUUGGGAGAUGUGGCAGCUUGAUGUUAAAUCAGCCUUCUUAAAUGGUUCACUGGAUGAAAAAGUCUACAUCAAACAACCUCCUGGAUUUGUGAUAAGAGGCAGUGAACACAAAGUCUACAGAUUAAAGAAGGCCUUAUAUGGGUUGAGGCAAGCUCCAAGAGCUUGGAAUAGAAGAAUUGGUGCAUUCUUCUUGAGAGCAGGGUUCAGAAAAUGUGAAGUAGAGCAUGGUGUUUAUGUGAAAUGCUCAAGCAGUAAUCAUGUUCUCAUCAUCUGCUUGUAUGUAGAUGAUCUCCUAGUAACUGGAAGCAACUCAGAUGGAGUUGAACUAAUCAAGCAAAGCCUGAAAUCUGAAUUUGAAAUGUCUGAUCUAGGGAGAUUAUCCUACUUUCUGGGCAUAGAAUUCAAACAGAUUGAUGGAGGAAUGUUUAUGCAUCAAAGGAAAUAUGUUCAAGAUGUCUUGAAGAAGUUCAAUAUGACCAACUGCAAUUCGACUGAUACACCAGCAGAGCCAAACUUGAAGCUGGACAGAAAUAGCAAUGAGCCUGCUGCAGAUUGUACAGAAUUUAGGCAAAUGGUUGGAUGCUUGAGAUUCAUUUGUCACACCAGACCUGAAAUCUCAUUUAGUGUUGGCUUGGUUAGUAGAUUCAUGAGCAAUCCAAGGAAGUCUCACCUUGUAGCAGUCAAAAGAAUUCUGAGAUACCUUAAUGAUACUCACUUGAAUAUGGUGUCUUCUUCUCAAAAGACUCAGAGAAAUGCAGGGAAAAAUGCAGGCUACAACUUUCUGCUUAUUCUGAUUCAGAUUGGUCUGGUGAUUUGGUUGAGAGAAAGAGUACAAUGGGCUAUGUGUUCAUGCUAUGUGGCUCUCCUAUAUCUUGGUGUUCAAAGAAGCAAGAAAUUGUUGCUCUCUCUACUUGUGAAGCUGAAUAUGUUGCUGCUUGUCAUGCUGCUUGCCAAGCACUAUGGUUGAGUUCUCUGCUAGAUGAGUUGAUGAUUGGUUUUGAAGGCAUUGUUGAACUUGUUGUUGACAACAAGUCAGCAAUUAACUUGGCAAAGAAUCCAGUUGGUCAUGGAAAGAGCAAGCAUAUUGAAAGGAAGUAUCAUUUUCUUAGAAGUCAAGUAGAGAAAGGGAAGAUUUGUUUGAAGUAUUGUAAAACUGAAUUUCAAGUUGCUGAUAUUUUAACAAAAUCUAUCAAAGUUGAAAGAUUUAGAAUGUUAAGGAAGUUGCUGAGUGUGAUUUGCUUGUAAUGAAUGAUUUAGAAUUAAGGGGGAGUGUUAGAAUGGGUAGUUAGUUGGUUUCUAUUUUAGGAAAGUAUUCAAAAAUCAGUUUUGUUAGUUAAUGCUUGAGUUGCUAUAAAUAGCUUGUUGAACAAUUGAUUUGGAAUCAAUAUACAUGGAGUGUAAUUCAUUGAAUCAUUUCUCUUCUUAUCUCUAAUUAACCCACACUUAAUUCUCUCUCAUUCUUUCUCUUCUGUUUCUGCAACACACCUUCACAUUCUGUUUUCUUCUUCUAAGUGCAGUGGCACUGUUUUUCUCCAACAUGUUGAACAUCAAUAACAUUAGCACUAACUUAAUGAUUUAUGUUUAACAGCGCAUUUGAUAGAAAGAGUUGUUGAUGUUAAUAUAUGCAACAGCGCAUAAUGAACCGACGUUGAAGAUGACAUAGUAACUACGUUUGCUUAAUUAUGCGAUGUUGAUAUUUUACAACUUUUUAAGCGUUGGAGAUAUUAAUGGUGGAAUAGUUAUGCGUCUCUUCGUUUGUUGAAAUAUCAAUGGUUGAGUGGUUAUGAGUCUCUUGGUUGUUGAAAUAUUAAUGGUUAAGUGAUUAUGCCUCUUGUUUGUUGAAAUAUUAAUGGUUGUUCAUCUAUAAAUAUUGUGGUUCACUCAAUGUUCUAUUUCACGAGUAAGAGUAUGUGUUUCUAAAAGAAUAUGUUCAUGAAGAUAAGAAGAAGAAAACACAAAGUAGUAAAAAAAGAGUAAUACUGCAGAGAGUGAAAAAAAGAAAAAAGACUCAGAUUUGUAUAGGGAAGUCGAUGAAAAAAUUAUUUCUGUUUCAGAAUCAUGUCAAUGAGGUCUUUAACAACUUUUGAUUUUGCAAAAGGACCCAAAUUUCACAAGGAAUGUGGUUUUCAUAGAAGAUUUGCAUGAGAUAAAGAUUUAAUGUGCAUAUUAUUUAGUUCAUUCAUCUACCAAAUCAUUCGGUUGAUUGAUUUCCUUCAUUGAAAUCAUGUCAGUGAGGUCUUUAACAACUUUUGAUUUGGCAAAAGGGCCCAGAUUUUGAAAGGAAAUAAAAUGAAAAUAAUCAAUGAAUUCUUUUUCAUUGUAUUCUUCAUUUGCCAAAUCAUUUAGUUCAUUAUAUUCGCAUAUAACAAAUCAUUUAGUUCAUUACAAUGUAUUUUGAUUCAAUAAAUGAAUAAUAAAACAAUUAUUUUGGAUGUUAAUUGCUAUUUUUUUGUUAAUUAUUUGGAUGAUUAUUUUCUUUAAUACUUUUGUUGUUCCUUAUUAAUAAAUACAUUAAACAAAUUAAUAAUACUUAAUAAAUACAAAAACAAAUUAACAAAAUGUAACGUUUAAUAUAUAUACAGUUUCGUAUUAAUAAACACAAUUAUAUAUACUAAUUUACUUCAUGACAACUUCAUGUUAAUUAACGUAAAUUCAUGUUGUAUAAAUAUUUUUCAGUUAUGUAAAAUAUAAAUUUAACCGCGCAUAACUACGAAUAUGCUGUUAAUUUGAAAAAUGAUUUCAGUUUAACAGCGCAUAAUUAUGAUUACAUGGUCAAUUAGAUUCUAUUUAACAACGCAUAAUUAAGAUAACGCUGUCAAUUAGAUUCUAUUCAACAAUGCUACAUCUUGGUAGCGUUGUUGAUGUGUUAAUGAAAAUAAGUAGUAAAGAGUUGGAUACACAACAACAGCGCAACCCUUAAUUUACAUUGUUGAAGAUGUCAAUACAAUAGCACUACUUUUAAUAUGCGCAGUUGGAGAUCUAUAUUCAACAACACUACUUUUAAUAUAUGCUGUUAAAUUGAUAAUAUAGUUUAAAUAUCUAAAACAUGAAUCGUUUCCUCUAAGCUCUCAAACUUAAUCGAAAAGAAAUCCGCAUACUCUCAACAAACCCUCAUACUCUCAUAAACUGAAAAACUUCAUUAAUGGCUUUCCAAAGUGGCGAUCAUGGUUCUCACAGUGGUGACGAAGCUACACCGACUCCACAAGAUAAGCAAAUCGUUGCUCGAAAACGAUCUCCACGUGGAAUGACUUCCAUGAAAAAUGUCAGUCGGUCAAGAAGUAAGGAUGUGAAGAUAGAAGUUCAAUGGAACUCUAAAGACCAACCAUUAAACUCGAAGGGUGGCAACACAUUGGUAAGCUACAUUAGUGUUGUUGUUAGGCAGAAUGUGAAGCUAACCUUCAACAAAUGGAGUGAUGUAGGGAAUAUCGUGAAUGAGCGUAUUUAGAAUGAAAUAAUAGUGUUAUUUUUCCAGUUUUUGUGUUUUCAUGCAAUGUAUGUAUAUAUGUUAUGUUUUCAUGCAAUGUAUGUAUAUAUGUUAUGUUUUCAUGCAAUAUAUAAUAUAUGUGUGUUUUUAUUUCAAUCAAUUUACAUGCAAUAUAUAAUAUAUGUGUGUUUUUAUUUCAAUCAACUUUUGAUGUUGGUGAGGAGCAUAAGGAUUAUAUUCCUAAAACAGUUGGUAAGGCUCUCCGAAAACUUGGAACUGAUACCGGAAAAUUACUCAGAGAUGCUGAUGGCAAUGUCAACCUAAAACUUCAAACUAAACAAGCAAAUAUUGUUGAUGAAGAAGAUUGGAAGACUUUUGUCACCCUACGCACACAUGACGAGUCUUUCUUGGUAAAAUCAUAUUCUUUGUAUUGACUUUUGUAUAUAUGUUUUUGUAUAUGAUUGUUGAUAUUAAUGUUGUUUAUUGUUUCAGAAAUUAAGUAAUGAAAACCGCAAGAGGGCAUCCAAGCCUUUAUAUCCAUACCAAGCUUCUCAAGCGGGAUAUAGAGGAAUUGAGGAAAAAAAUUGUAAGUAUUGUUAAUUUGUACAUUAUUGGUUAUGUUUUGUAUGCAUAUAUAUCUAAUUACAUUUUUAAUAGUUGUGUUUGUUAGUUGGAGAAAAAAAUCGAUACACAUAUGACUCUACAUGGAGUAAAACUCGAUGUUCUUUGGUCGGAUGCCCAUAAGAACAAGAAUGAUAUCAUCGAUAAAAAUGAUGUCAUUAACAAGGAUGAUGUCAUCAUUAUAAGUAGAUAAACUAUUUGAACUCAUGAACAUUAAGUCACAUUGCAAUCAACUUUAUCCUUUUAAUUUAAAACUAAUAUUCAAAUAAAAUAUAAGUAGGAUGAUUUUAGAAUAUGAUUCUAUCUACUAUGGUUCAAUAAAUCAAUAAUUCUCUAGAAAAUCUUGAUAUCAAGGAAUGUCUCUAUUUUGGAUGUUUGAAAUAUGUUAUUAUAUCAAGUUCCACAUGGCCUAAUCUUAGAAUAGAAUAUAAUAUCAAUGUUAUAUAUUGGACCUAGGAUCUUCGUUAUUAUGUGCACCAGAUAUAAGCACCAAAUAUAAAUACAUCAUGAGCACUAGGGCCCAUGGGUGUACUAGGACUUGUAAUUCUUAUUCUAUAAUAAUAUCUUGGUAGCCGCUCAGCGCUCCAGUGGAAGUAUGCACAAUUAGCGAACCCUAUUGCUUCCGCUGCACCAACAAUUAGUAUUAGAGUUGGGUUGAUAUAUGACUCUUAGCCCAGACGUCAGAUGAUGACUAAAGAUGGUGAAAGUGUGAUGGCUAGACAAUAUGCAUCAAAAAUAUUGUGCAAGGAUAAAGUGGAUGAGUUGAAAGAGAAGAAAACAUGGUGGAACUAUGAUGGGGUGAUGUAUGUGUUAAUCCAUAAUCUAAGAAGUUCAUGUACUGGAUUAUGAUCAAGGUAGAGAUAGGAACUCACGUGUUGAGUUUGGCCUUGAGACAAUGAUCUCAUUUGAGAUGAGAAGUGAAAUAUCCUAAUGGCGUGCUUGGGACGACAUAGUGAAAAAUAUUAAUUGUUAGCAACUCCACAAAAGCAUAGAGAUACUGGUUGACUUUGAUGUAGGAUGUAAUAUGGACAUUGACUUUAUUGCAAGGUGCAACACGGACAUUGGUAGAGAUGCAGGGGUGCAAUAUGGGCAUUGGUUUGGAUGCAAGGAUGUGGCACAAACAUUGGUUAACAUUGAUGCAAUGUGUGCUAUGGGUAUACUCCUUAUGGUGGAGUAUGAUAGUUCUUUUGAACUAUGAUUGUCAGACUAGACAAUGAUGGCAGCGGUUGAGGCUUUCCAAUGAAGCUCUAAGGUUCAGUUUGACUGAGCAUCGAAAUUGAGGGUUGUUGGUGAACUUUUGUAUAAAGGUUCCAUAUAUCGAAAGACUUCCUAGCAAUAGGUGGCUAGGUGGUGUGUUCCAUUAGAUGGCGGUACGGGAAACUGCACUAGACGUUUGGAGAGCUAGGCUCUUGGUAACAUCGUCAAGAUACUCGGAAAGACUAAUGAUGAAGGGGAGCAAGCUAUGGAGGAGUUGUUAAAGAUAAUUAGACAUUGAGCAAGGUGAAGUCGGAUAUUUGUUAAGGUGAAGAUUCUUGUGUAGAUUUCUUAUGAAACGAGAUAUUCAUCCAUUUCAAUCAAGGUAGAGAUUGUUCGGAUGUUUGAAAUGUGUUAUUAUAUGAAGCACUCAUUGCGUAGUAUUUGAAUGGAAUAGAAUAUCAAUGUUAUAUAUUGGACUCGAGUCCCUUAUUAUUAUGUGCACCAAAUAUAAGCAUCAAAUGGAAAAACUUCAUGGCACUAGGGUCCAUGAGUAUGCUAGGGCUUGUAAUUCUUAUUCUCAAAUAAUAUCUUGGUAACCGAUCAAUACUUCCGAGACAUUAUGCUUCAAAUAAUAUGAUUCUUUUUUGUUCCGAACAAAUUGGUUGUGUACCAAACCUGCCUAAAAAGAUUGUAAGGAAGUAUUUAAAUAUAUAUCCACCAAAAUAUACUCGAAGUUGAAGUUUCACUACAACUAAAUUAUAUUGAUUUGUAUCAACUUGGUGUUGACUUUUGGAUUUCAGCAUAUUUGGAAUGUAUGUCCUACUUUUUUUUUACAAGCAAAUAAAUUAUAUUUUUUUGGUUACUAUCAAUGGUAUUUUCACUCUUUUAAGUAAGGAACUAAUCUCUUUCGGAGUGUGUAGUUGUCCCUCACAACAUGUGUCACUCUCAAGAAUCGAAUUCUUAACCUUUAAGUGAGACUCAUGUCAAGUAAUAGCGAGAGAAUUGACUUUUUCCUUUAUAUUUUGACGGUAAAAGUGUAAUCUCGUUCUUGAUAAAAAUGAUAUAAAUGUCAAUGUAUAUUGUUUUUCUUUACCUUUUUCAUAGCACUUACCUCUCCAUGAUUCUCACUCUAACUUUUUUGUUAUUUUGGGUAUAACGGACCUUACACUACUAGACCAAUACAUUAUUGGUAAUAAAUAAAUUAUAUUAAAUAAGGAUAAUCGGUGUUUAAUCCGGUACAAAUAAUGGAUAGAACAAAGACCUAUAAAUUUUGCACUGUGUAGCAUUCCAUAUUAGUUAAAUUCUCUUAUCUUCUCUUGCAAAUCAAUCUUUUCUCGUGCUGCUCAUUAAAGUCAUCACUUAAAGUACACACAUGGACUAUCUUUAGUCAAAUCUUUAAAAUGACAUGCAUAAAUUAUUUCCUUUUUACAACAUUUACCACUUUUCACUUUGAUUCUUACUCAUGAUAGAGUAACAUAAACUUGGAAAGUUUAUGUGCAUGCGUUGUAAUUGUUCCGUGUACGAAUGGUAGGAGUGAUAUUACAUUUCCAUAUAUACUGUAUGUUGAUUCAUGUACAAGCCCCAACUCAAUUGUCCACUACAUUCCAUAGACACACAUACACAUAUAUACAUAUAUAUAUAUAUAUAUAUAUAUAUAUAGUUUCUGUUGAUUCAUUAUGCUUUAAACUUUACAACUUAAGUGCUGAAGCUUGAAAAUAGAAAGUAGAAGUACAUUUUAUUUGAUUUCUCAAAUGCUAAUGCUCUUUUAAGUUUUAAGCAUGAGGAGGAGAUCUUGUCGUAUGAAAAUUUCCUUCCUUUUCAAGGAAUUAAACUUAUCUGCUAGUGCAAGAAGGCUGAUUAAGAUGUGUUAUGUCUGCUGAUUGAUUUACAUAUCAUGGG
rnacentral:lncRNA from 1 species